rnacentral:tRNA from 1 species
CAAAAAAUAGUUUAAAAAAAAUAAUAAUUUUGGGAAUUAUUGAUAUUUAUAAAAUUAAAUUUUUUUGA